AUCAAAAACAUAGCUUGGUGUAGUACAUACUAAGUUAAUUCUGCUCAAUGAAAAAUUAAAUAGCCGCAGUACCCUGACUGUGCUAAGGUAGCAUAAUAAGUUGGCUUAUAAUUGAAGUCUUGUAUGAAUGGAAUUUAAUGGAUAAUAACUGUCUCUUUUUUAGCUUAAAUAAAAUUACUUAUAAGGUGAAAAUUCCUUUUAUUUAAAAGAAAGACGAGAAGACCCUUAGAAUUGUUAAUAAGUUUUAUGUUUUUAUAAUUUUUAUUUGUUGGGGCGACAAAGUUACACGUAACUUACAUGUUUUUUUUGUUACAGGUAAUAAUUGAUUAGAACGAUUAAUUACCUAAGGGAUAACAGCGUAAUCUGUUAUUUGGUUUGCGACCUCGAUGUUGGAUUAGGGAGUGCUAUAGUUAGUAACUAUGGUUAUUUGUUCUGUUCGAACUUUAAGACCUACAUGAUCUGAGU
rnacentral:rRNA from 1 species